CGAGGGGUAAUCCCGUUUAUCGGGAACGACCGGCGCACGGGUGCGUAACGCGUAUGCAACCUACCUUCUACAUUGGGAUAGCCCUAAGAAAUUGGGAUUAAUACCAAAUAACAUUAAGAUACCUCAUGGUAUUUUACUUAAAACUCCGGUGGUAGAAGAUGGGCAUGCGUGACAUUAGAUAGUUGGUAAGGUAACGGCUUACCAAGUCUACGAUGUCUAGGGGUUCUGAGAGGAAGGUCCCCCACACUGGUACUGAGACACGGACCAGACUCCUACGGGAGGCAGCAGUGAGGAAUAUUGGGCAAUGGAGGCAACUCUGACCCAGCCAUGUCGCGUGCAGGAAGACAGUUCUAUGAAUUGUAAACUGCUUUUAUACGGGAAGAAACACAAGACGUGUCUUUGUCUGCCUGUCCGUACGAAUAAGCAUCGGCUUACUCCGUGCCAGCAGCCGCGGUAUACGGAGGAUGCCAGCGUUAUCCGGAUUCAUUGGGUUUAAGGGUGCGUAGGCGGAUAUAAUCGG
rnacentral:rRNA from 1 species